UCUAAUUUCUAAUCGCAAUGGAUUUAAGUCCCAUAUAUAAAGUUUAAACUUUUUUUAGAA
rnacentral:tRNA from 1 species